CUCAGGUUGUCGAACCUGGCUCCCACGUUGGGACUUUUGGGGGGAUUAUCACCUGAACUGUGAGGAAGAUGUUGUCGUCACCAGAAGACCGCCUGUGGUAAGACCUCCAAAGAAUAAGACACAACUUCGUCAGGAUUCAUCAAGUUUUACGAACAUCACUGCUUUUCUGAUUCGGCAAGGCCCCAGACGAUUCAUAUAUCAAACGGACCAGGCAGACUGUUAUGACAACAAGUUUAAGUUGCUCUCCAGUUGCUUGUGGAACAAAUUUAUGAGAUGUGGCAGUCAAAAUUACAUAGUACUAGGCAUAGAAGAAUACAUAACUGUCUCAUGGGUUCGCGUGAGAGCUGUGCGAACUGAAAUAGAACCCUGGCUAAAUAACUCGUUCCCAUGGACCUACAUUGCACCAGCCGAGCUGUACUACAUUGGAGAUUUUCCUGAAGGGACUGCUCGUUCUCCCGACGGGUUAAAAGGACCACAGGUUGCCGACCUGCGCACCCAACGACUCCCAACUCCUGACGAUCUUCUCAAUGCUCCUAAAGACCAGUUUGCGAAAAUCGACAAGUGUGUGGCCAAGAGGAUCUUCGACAGCCUCAACGGAACCACCUGGAGGAGGACUCUCUCCUCUCCACGGUGUGACAUCUGGCAGACUAAUUACGCCCUUUUCACCGUAUGGACCUAUGAAUGCCCUGACCCUGACUUGGUCCCAACAGCAAAGCUCGCUCUGCAAGGCUGGUAUGAGGAUUAUUAUCGAAAGUGGGACUGGGAAUUUUGGGGAUUUCAACAAAGAGAAUUUCAAAACUGGGUGUUACCUUGUCUCAGUCAAUCAAAUAAUUAUUGGAUAAAAUAUCAGUAUGUUGCCACUGUCUACUCCAAAGAAGUCACCAUAUGGCCCGGAGCUUUUUGGAGACCCGAGCCAUAUGUGAACCCAAGACCCUGGCGCAUGACGUGUCGACGCAACAACACUGAAUGCGUCAUAGCAUUGGCCAGGAAACCUUGCCAAACGCUCAUAGGCUGGGAAGACUACUGCAAAGACCAUUACGCAGAAGAGUAUGACACCCAUUCAUCGGAGGUUACUUGGAGGAAGAUCAACGGAGUGUGGCGGAGAGCAAUCGUGAGUGGAAAGACAUGUACUGAUGCGAUCCUGGGCUAUCACCUCCAGAAGCGCAAAAGCAUCCUUAAUGCCCCCGUUCCCUUCAUCCCACACCCUAUCAUCGCCAUUGCGGAAGGGCAUGCAUUCCGGAAAAGUCUGUGCCAGGGUGAAGUAGACCAUGGGUUCGACUGGGUUGGACCUAACCUUAUGUAUUCUAACCUUACCUGCUAUGUGACCAAAGAGACAUGGCAGCAAUGUGGAGACGGAAAGAAUCAACAUGAAUGUUACUGGUAUGAGGUCCUGGGCUCCUCUGUGGCCACCGUAGUCACCGACGUUGUGGAAGGAGUUGCCGACGUGAUAGGGGGAGGGCUCUCUAUUGUCGAAGGUUGGAUACUCAGUGCCCUGAGUAUGUUGUGGCCAUACUUGCUAGGCCUCCUGGGCGUUGCCGUGGUUUUGAUCAUAGGCAAGGUCAUCGUGGAGGUGUGGCUGAAGGAACUUUGUCGUUGCAGGGGGAAGGACUAUAAGCCCCUCCCCCCCAAGGCGGAGCGUAAAUCCGCAUAAAAGACGGCUGCUGUGUGCCUACGAGCCAUUCCUCUUCACGGCUGCGGUGGGGACCUGACCUAAAGAACAACCAUCAUCAGAGAUCAUGGCAUCUAACUCAUCUACUAACUCUUCUACUCCGACAUCACUCUUUGCGCCUAUUCAAGUACCGAUCUGCUGUGUGGGGUGUGGAAUCCCCGCAGAAUCCUAUGGAUUCCUUUGGGUUGCAUCGUCAACUCGUUGGUGCCACAAGUGUGUGCACACUCACUUUAGCUAUGUAACGGCUAUCUUCUGCGUCGAAGGACGUGGGGUCCCGUACAUUGCGGCUUCUACAUCUAGAAUCCUGGAGCGAGACCACAAGAUCGUGUGGACCUCUGCCUUGGGCCAAGACGAAAACGAGCUAUCAUCGUCCAAACUGGGCAAUGGGCGGAUGUACCCCAUAGUCAGGAAAUUGUGGGAGAACCAAGUGUCCCGUCGUUGCCUACCUACUCUUCAUCUUUUGAAUGGCAAGGUGGUGGCUGUGGGAGAGUAUAUUCCCCCUGUUUGUCCAGUAUCUCCGGAUAUGUUCGUCGACGUCGGAACCCAAACUAGCACAGCAACACAGGAUCAGUGUUCCCAAACUGAGUUACUCAGUUCAUCUCACCAACCCUGCCAGACGACUGACACCGGUUCUUCAUCAUCCACCUACGAGGAAGAAUUCCAGGAGCUGUUGGCAGAGUUAUGUCUCCCAACACCUCCCCAAGAGGUGACUGCGGCUGGUUCUGCCCCAGCUCCUCCACCUCGGCCGAGUCCCCCACAUCUUCAGCCCCAGCCCUGCUCUACAUCUGACGCGGAUAUGGACACGGAUGUCUUGCUCCCACCACCGUCGAAUCUCACGGAGUACGACGUUGUGGAUGCGUGGACACCGUCUCCCUCUCCUACGGUCAUCGCUGAAGAAGAUGUCCUCUUUCUUUGCUGUGAUGAUGGACUGGACAACGGCCUUGACCUCUUUUGAGUAGGGCUGUGCGUGUUCUGCUGAGCACUGUCCGAUCUCAAGGAGGGGGUGUCAAGAACUCUGGUAUGAAAAUGUAUGUAAAUUUGAGAUCAGUCCAGGCACAUGCAGAACAACGGAUCAUAAAGUACCUAGAAGAUUGUGGCAGCCCUGUAUGUUGAUUAAAAAUGAUUGCUUAUUGUGUACUCUUUGUAUGAGAAUGUGUUCUCUGUAUUCUAUUAAUGUUGUAACGAGAAAAUAGAAUCGAAACAUCUGAUGUACUAAUGUUUUAUAUGAUUUUAAUGAUUGAAGUAAUUAUCGCAACAUCUAAUGUUCUGAUGUUUUAUAUGAUUCAAGUAAUUAUCGAAACAUCUAAUGUACUAAGAUUUUAUAUGAUUUUAAUGAUUGAAGUAACUUGUAUUAUUAAAGUUAGUAUAGAACAAGGAGAAGUAUAAGGUUGGGGUGUGGAGGCUGAUGCAAGCCGUUGUGCAACUCGGAAAGUCCCAAAAGUCCCAGG